UUAGCCCUAAUCAGGCUAAUACUGGAAGAUGGAUUCAACAUUCACUGGUAAGGCCUAUACAUGUUGAUAUACGCAAGUGAACUUAAAUUCCAGAACCAGAAUGUAUCACAUAAAUCUAAGAGCAUAUAUAUUCAAUUAAGGAUCACUUCUCCAUCCCUAUUUUAGAAGAUGUAAUAAUUUCUUUGUGAAUAUAAUAUAUUCACUAAAACAGGAUGCAGAAGUAAUCAGUGACUUUGAAAGUAGGGGCAACCUUAGGGAAGUUUGUUCAAAUAAUCAAGCCCCUCCCAGGAGGGUCCCAAACUGCUUAUCAAAGGGAAAUAAAACUAAGGAAUAUUCAAGCUAAAGUAAAGUAAACCAAACCCAACAAUCUCUCCCUAAAUCACCUCAUUCAAGGAUCCUGUUCUUCCUUCAGAAGUUGCCAAAGAUCUAUAAGAUGGUCCAGGUGGAAGGCACAACAUACACCAAGCAUCACCUCACUAGACCAAUUAAGGCAACACAGCCAAGGCUGAAGAGUCCCUUCUCAAGAAAAAACCCAAGAAGAAACCUGGAGCCUGGGCAAUUUCUACUAUGCACCAAGCAGGAACAGUAGGGGUAAUCAGAAGAAUGGUGCUCAAGCUAGAAGGCUGAAGUCAUGAUACUUUCAAAGAACUGGCCAGGAAAGUUCAAUUAUUCUGCUUCAUCUAACUUAUCCUUUAUCUCCAUCUAAUAGACUGAAUUGCAUAUUCAAUAAAUUUCUUGAAAUGAAA